AAGGCUUGACCUCAANUCAGGUAAUACUACCCGCUUGCCUAAGUU
rnacentral:rRNA from 1 species